GACGAACGCUGGCGGCGUGCUUAACACAUGCAAGUCGAGCGGUAAGGCCCUUUCGGGGGUACACGAGCGGCGAACGGGUGAGUAACACGUGGGUGACCUGCCCUCAGCUCUGGGAUAAGCCCGGGAAACUGGGUCUAAUACUGGAUAUGACUCCAUGACGCAUGUUGUGGGGUGGAAAGCCUUGUGCGGCUGGGGAUGGGCCCGCGGCCUAUCAGCUUGUUGGUGGGGUGAUGGCCUACCAAGGCGACGACGGGUAGCCGGCCUGAGAGGGCGACGGCCACACUGGGACUGAGACACGGCCCAGACUCCUACGGGAGGCAGCAGUGGGGAAUCUUGCGCAAUGGGCGAAAGCCUGACGCAGCGACGCCGCGUGAGGG
rnacentral:rRNA from 1 species